AAUUGAAUUCUUAAAAAUUCCACAUUAUUGGCGAGCCAGCCCAAAUCCGUCGUUCUUGUUGCGUUUUUUCAAAAAAAAAAAAAAAAAAAAAACCGGGGAGGCUGACAUUCGCGUGUGACACUGGCCUACAGAAGAGACCUUCUUUUUUACGUUGACACCGAAUUCAAGAAAGGAUUACAGUAAGAGGACUGUUUUGGAAGCCAUUUGCCAACGCUGAAGGAAAAACGGACUUGAAGGCACGGAACGGACCACGUACAUUUAAUUAAUCGAGAUCAGGACGAGGCUCCUGGUAUUCAGGAACAGGUUGGAGGUCAGCACUAAGUGGGACAUUCCGGUCAUAUUCAUAAACAACUCCCAAUGUGUCAGGGACAAUACACGCAGUUGACGUUGGAUUCACCUAAUGGACAUCAGACAGGUGGAAAGAUGGUGAAGCGUUCACAACAGAAGACACAUGGAAAGUAUCAAGUGAAUCUUCAUUUAGAACACAUGAUUGAGGGUGGAAGACAGCUUCCAAGAAUAUAAGAAUUCAUUGUGACAGUAAAAACACGUAAUUGGACACAUUAUUAACGCAAUAACUAGUUGGGAUGAGGGACAGGAUAACCUGGGGAGAUGGGCCGUGGAGCAUGAAUGUACAUAUUACCCUGGUCUAACAAUGAUGCAUCUAAAUUUAUACGGUUAAAAAUAAAUAAAUAAAAUAAAUAAUAAUAGUAAUAAUAAUACAUAUAUGUUGAGGAUAGACAAUGCCAACCUCUAAAGGAAUGGGAAGACUCAAGCAGUUGGACUGAAGCAAAUGUCCUCCACUGCACCCUAUUCCUAGAGAAGGCAUCAUUCUUGGACCAGAAGAAAA